UACAGGGGGGGCAAGCGUUGUUCGGAAUUACUGGGCGUAAAGGGCUCGUAGGCGGCCAACUAAGUCACACGUGAAAUCCCCAGGCUCAACCUGGGAACUGCGUGUGAUACUGGAUGGCUUGAAUUCGGGAGAGGGAUGCAGAAUUCCAGGUGUAGCGGUGAAAUGCGUAGAUAUCUGGAGGAACACCGGUGGCGAAGGCGGCAUCCUGGACCGACACUGACGCUGAGGAGCGAAAGCCAGGGGAGCAAACGGG
rnacentral:rRNA from 1 species